rnacentral:rRNA from 1 species
UACGUAGGGGGCUAGCGUUGUCCGGAUUUAUUGGGCGUAAAGAGCGUGUAGGCGGCCAGGUAGGUCUGCUGUGAAAACUCGAGGCUUAACCUCGAGAUGUCGGCGGAAACCAUCUGGCUAGAGUCCGGAAGAGGAGAGUGGAAUUCCUGGUGUAGCGGUGAAAUGCGCAGAUAUCAGGAAGAACACCCGUGGCGAAGGCGGCCCACUGGGCCGGUGCUGACGCUGAGGCGCGAAGGCGUGGGGAGCGAACGGG